rnacentral:rRNA from 1 species
GAACCUGAAACCGUGUGCUUACAAGUAGUCAGAGCCCGUUAAUGGGUGAUGGCGUGCCUUUUGUAGAAUGAACCGGCGAGUUACGAUUUGAUGCAAGGUUAAGCAGUAAAUGUGGAGCCGUAGCGAAAGCGAGUCUGAAUAGGGCGUUUAGUAUUUGGUCGUAGACCCGAAACCAGGUGAUCUACCCUUGGUCAGGUUGAAGUUCAGGUAACACUGAAUGGAGGACCGAACCGACUUACGUUGAAAAGUGAGCGGAUGAACUGAGGGUAGCGGAGAAAUUCCAAUCGAACCUGGAGAUAGCUGGUUCUCUCCGAAAUAGCUUUAGGGCUAGCCUCAAGUGAUGAUUAUUGGAGGUAGAGCACUGUUUGGACGAGGGGCCCCUCUCGGGUUACCGAAUUCAGACAAACUCCGAAUGCCAAUUAAUUUAACUUGGGAGUUAGAACAUGGGUGAUAAGGUCCGUGUUCGAAAGGGAAACAGCCCAGACCACCAGCUAAGGUCCCAAAAUAUAUGUUAAGUGGAAAAGGAUGUGGCGUUGCCCAGACAACUAGGAUGUUGGCUUAGAAGCAGCCAUCAUUUAAAGAGUGCGUAAUAGCUCACUAGUCGAGUGACACUGCGCCGAAAAUGUACCGGGGCUAAACAUAUUACCGAAGCUGUGGAUUGUCCUUUGGACAAUGGUAGGAGAGCGUUCUAAGGGCGUUGAAGCAUGAUCGUAAGGACAUGUGGAGCGCUUAGAAGUGAGAAUGCCGGUGUGAGUAGCGAAAGACGGGUGAGAAUCCCGUCCACCGAUUGACUAAGGUUUCCAGAGGAAGGCUCGUCCGCUCUGGGUUAGUCGGGUCCUAAGCUGAGGCCGACAGGCGUAGGCGAUGGAUAACAGGUUGAUAUUCCUGUACCACCUAUAAUCGUUUUAAUCGAUGGGGGGGACGCAGUAGGAUAGGCGAAGCGUGCGAUUGGAUUGCACGUCUAAGCAGUAAGGCUGAGUAUUAGGCAAAUCCGGUACUCGUUAAGGCUGAGCUGUGAUGGGGAGAAGACAUUGUGUCUUCGAGUCGUUGAUUUCACACUGCCGAGAAAAGCCUCUAGAUAGAAAAUAGGUGCCCGUACCGCAAACCGACACAGGUAGUCAAGAUGAGAAUUCUAAGGUGAGCGAGCGAACUCUCGUUAAGGAACUCGGCAAAAUGACCCCGUAACUUCGGGAGAAGGGGUGCUCUUUAGGGUUAACGCCCAGAAGAGCCGCAGUGAAUAGGCCCAAGCGACUGUUUAUCAAAAACACAGGUCUCUGCUAAACCGUAAGGUGAUGUAUAGGGGCUGACGCCUGCCCGGUGCUGGAAGGUUAAGAGGAGUGGUUAGCUUCUGCGAAGCUACGAAUCGAAGCCCCAGUAAACGGCGGCCGUAACUAUAACGGUCCUAAGGUAGCGAAAUUCCUUGUCGGGUAAGUUCCGACCCGCACGAAAGGCGUAACGAUUUGGGCACUGUCUCAACGAGAGACUCGGUGAAAUCAUAGUACCUGUGAAGAUGCAGGUUACCCGCGACAGGACGGAAAGACCCCGUGGAGCUUUACUGUAGCCUGAUAUUGAAAUUCGGCACAGCUUGUACAGGAUAGGUAGGAGCCUUUGAAACGUGAGCGCUAGCUUACGUGGAGGCGCUGGUGGGAUACUACCCUAGCUGUGUUGGCUUUCUAACCCGCACCACUUAUCGUGGUGGGAGACAGUGUCAGGCGGGCAGUUUGACUGGGGCGGUCGCCUCCUAAAAGGUAACGGAGGCGCUCAAAGGUUCCCUCAGAAUGGUUGGAAAUCAUUCAUAGAGUGUAAAGGCAUAAGGGAGCUUGACUGCGAGACCUACAAGUCGAGCAGGGUCGAAAGACGGACUUAGUGAUCCGGUGGUU